GUGGGGAGCAGCAAGGGCAGCCCUUUGGCUAUCCCCCAGCUGCAUAUGUUUCACUGUCUGUCCUGGCUAUCAUACACAAUCCUGUUGCCCUCAGAUGCAGUGGAAGAUUGAACACCAUCCCAUCAACACUGCUGAAGUAAGAUUCAAGUGCUAGUCCACUUGGCUUCUGCACAUGGUAUGGACAGAGGAGGGGUGCCAUCUUAUGCACAACCUCGGGGGGUGGGAAAUGCAUUGUGUUGCAGAACCAUUUCUCUUUGUGUUGUGUGUUAAAAUAUAUAUUGUCAGCUGCCAUGAGCUCCGGAGAUGUGGUAGGAUAUAAAUCCAAUCAGGGGUUCCCAAACUGUUCUGCAGACCACCAGUGGUCCACAGGCUUUAUUCAGGCUCAUCACAUUGAAUUUAGCACAGCGCAUUACAAUUGCUACAACAGGCAGAAAAAUAAUUAAGUUGUUCAAACAAAUCCCUCAGCAAUUUUCAAGUGGUCCAUGGCAGGGAACAUUUGGUCACUACUGAUCUAAACUGUAAAAAAUGCAAGCAUUUGGAAAAGAGUACUGGCAGGGCCAGCCCACACAUAGGGCAAGGUGAGGCAACCGCCUCCAGAGGCAGAAUCCACAGGGAUAGCAGAUCCAGCCUCCAAGGAAUGCAUUGCCUGCUGUCACUGCCACAAGUGGUGCAGGAUCUGCCUCUCCAGCAGCACCCCCAAUGCCAUCUCUACAACAGUCUAUUGAGGAGUAGGAGGGAUUGCUGGCUUCCUUGUUCUCAAUGUAGAUCUUUAGUCUCCCCUUGUUCCUGAUGUAGAUUUUGUGGUUUGCCUCAGGUGCCAACCUGUCUUGGGCCAGCUCUGGGAACUGGAUUGGAUGGAGAAUCAAAUUUCUACUACCAGAGCGAUUUGAGAAGGGAGGGGAAGUCAUUCUCAGUUUGAUUCCCAUCAGGGUUAAAGGAAUUAGCUCCAGUGUAGUAAUUUGAACAUUCAAAUCAAGAUUUCUUUUGAAAUUAUUUAUCUGAUCCUCAAGGGUGUCUUGAACAUUAGACACAUAUUAGUUAAUUUAUACUCCAUAAAGCUUAACAUCCUCAUUUUGUACAGUUUUUCUAAUCAUAUUACUCAUCUCCUGAUAUUUAUAGUCUUUUACAAGAUAAUUUUAGGAAGAUAAGAAUCAAAAUCUCUAGUGCUUUUUAGGAUCUUAUUUAAUCUCAUUUAUGAAUGCAUGCAGUUUCCUCCCAGUCCUUAAUCAACAUGCAGUAGUGUGUUAGAAGUAUUUUCAAUAAAGCUUCCACAGUUACAUUUUAAUUGUUCACUGGUAAAUAGAAAUUAGACUUAAGACAUUUACGGUAAUUACGAAGAAAUACCCUUUCUGUCACCUAUCUAUGUAGACUGUUAGUAGGGAGUGUUUUGAGUGCACUGCAAGGUUUUAGAGGAAAAUAAUCAGAGUGAAGAACCCAGCCAUUGAGACUGCAGUCCCGUAUAUCCUUAUCUAGGAAUAAGCAUAACUGAGCUUACUUCUGAGUAGAUGUGUAUAUAAUUGUUCUGAGAGUUGUUUCUGACCUACUAUUAUUAGUUUCAUAUAUGAACUGCUUCCCAGGAUGCAUCUUGAUCUCAAAGUGACUUUACAAUACUAUAUAUAUAUAUAUAUAUAUAUAUAUAUAUAUAUAUAUACACCAACUGCAUUUAGGGAAGAAGUUGCAUAUAAAAACAAUUGCAUAUAUAAAAACAAUUUCAAAUCUAAUAAAGAUAGCAAUUGGGAUAAAAAUUUCCACUUAGAAGGCUUGUUGAAAGAGAAUAAUCUUUAGCAGGUGCUAAAAAGACAAUAGAGAUGGUGCCUGUCUGAUAGACCAAAGGCCUGAUUCUGGCACAGUUCGGAACAGACAUCCUGAUAAGAUGGUAUCUGUAGGACGCCCUCCUGCAAAGCACAGUGAUCAGUUGACUAUGCAUUUCUUGACACCCCACCCAGGGCCAGGGAUUAUUGACCCAUUCGCUGCUACUUUAGUACUCAGAGAUAGUUGGAGGACUGUGAUUGAAGUGCACAGCACACCUUCCUGUUAACAAGCAGAUUUAAUGAACAUUGAUUAGAAUACAUACCAAGUCAAUAGUGGUCAGAACUGAUUGUGCUCAAUUAAAAGGGGGAGGGGAGAAAACAGAUCAAAUAAGAAAUGCCCAAAGUUUUAAGCACCUAUUCUUGCAAACCACGAAGGGCCAGCCAAUCCAAAUUAUGAAUACCACUACUCCAUGUUCUUGGUUCUGCAGAGACACUGUACAUUCACACUUGCAUUUGAAUAUCGUUUAUUCUACAAGUAACGAGGCACCUUGCCCUUUGUUUGCCAUUCAAAUUCUAGCUCUAAUAGCUUUUUGUUUGCAUUUUGCAGGGGACGGCAUAAUCUUUGGGUAUGACUAGUAAUUUUAAUAUGCUGUUUAUGAGAAAAGAAGGCAGAGUGCCUAGCAUAAUCUGUAACCUGCCUCUGUUUGUGCUCCACUUCCAGAUUUCCUUUGAAGAAUCUCGUACUUCUUUUGACCUGUGUCAAAGUCUCAGAUUAUUGCUGUUUCUGGCUGUUGCUCACCCACCUCUUCCCCUGUCAAGAAGUCUUACUGCCAAAGUAAAUUUGUGCUUCCUCCUGCCAGACACUUUACCUAAUUUUGUCUCAGAGCCUUGGCUACUUCACAACCCUGGCUCACAACCCCAUACCCCUUCAGCACACUACAUCAACUUUAUUGUGGGUGGGUAUUGAUGCACAGAUGCAAUUGCCCAAAUUCAUCGAUUGUUAAGAAAAUCAAAGACCCUGAACCUGCAAUUCCGCCACUCCUGCUACUCAUGCACACAUGGAAAUAUUCCAUUGAAUGUCCCAUUUAGGUGGAAAUAAUCUAAAAUUCAAUCUAUUCUACACCUCCACCGUAGACAGAAAAUCGGUCUGUCUACAUUUUCUGUUCCUGCAUUUCGGCAUUGUCCCAUGUGGACACACCACCACCCUUAUAUGCACAAAAAGUGUUUGAGCAACGACAAUGGAGACGUGCUGAUCUAAAAUUAUAACAAGGACGGCUUUAUCAAGAAUCAUCUUUGUGCUCCCUUCAGUCCCAUUUCAACAACUUAAAUAACUGCUCUGUUUUGUAAUUGGUGCUGUUAAAAUGUCAUGAACUGAUCAGACCUGAUCGUGUUGCCUAGUAGCUUUCAGAAGACGGAGUGCUGAUUGGAAUCUUUCUGUGUGGUUUUGAAGGAAGCCACUCCUGGUUAAAGAGAGAGUUCUAUGAAAGCUUCCUUAGGAACCGGGAGAACAGAACUAAGGGGCAUAUAAUACUGAUUUCAGGUAAGUAAUGCAGAUGCAAAGAUGUGCCUCGUUACAUUAACAAACUGCAACAACUAAAAGCCAUCCGCGUGUAGUCAAACGAUCUCCUUUCUCAAAUUUUGACUUCUGCCUUGUGGAUAGAUUGACCAGCAGUCUACAGAUGACGCACUAAAGAUUAAAAUGCAAACUAAGAGCUAGUUCUCAUCGCAUUUUGUCAUAACGUAACAGGUGCAGCACUAAACGUGUGCUUCACUUUUGAGGGUAGAAAAAGAGACGUGGAAUUUCUGCCGUGCAAGACUGAACCUGCUACGAUGCAAGCAGAAAUGGCACUGAAAGGGAACACAAACAUUAAGCUCAAAAUGGCUUGUUCUGAAAGGGUUGCCUUAUGUUAAUACAGUAGUUUAAAAAUGAAAUUACAUGCAUUAGGCUGGCACAAAAAUGUGGCUGUUGUCUAAUAUGUAACAGUAGCAAUUAAUAACAGAACACCUGGCACCUUGACUAUUAUUCUGCUGCCAGCUCUGACAUUUCUAAUAGCAUUAUGUGGUUGCUGGGGUGUUUGGUUGCUUUAAAAAAAUGCGUUUUGUACUUUUGUUUUGUUUUUCAUUGGGAACAAGUAGAUCCUGCAACAAAACAUUGCCGUAUCCUUUGUCAGAAUUUCAGCCAUGUCCUUUUCCGAAAUGCUGAAUUCCUUUUCCCUUUCCUAGUUUUUCUUUUCCCUCAUCAAUAGUUGGUCAGCAUUUUGUGGCCAUUGAGAAUGCUCAGUUCCUAUCAGGAUGGGGUUUUUUUUGGGGGGGGGGGUCUUUCCCUUAUGUUUUUUCCCCCAUGUAGGAUGUUUUGUACUGCCAUCUUGGGGUUUCUCUGACACAGUGAUACCUGCCUCUUGUGUGUGGAUGAUGCCAUUUUAAUUACAAAAUGAUCCACGCCAAUUCACAAAGUGUGGAAACCAGAGGAUGGUUACGAUGUAGUCACCCAGUGAAACUGAUUGGUGGAUUAGGGACAGACAAGUGAAAGUACAUUUUAAAAGCCACCCACAAUUUCUCCUCCCAAUUUCCCCUCUCUCCGCCUUUGAGAGGCAGAUCUAAACCAUCCUCCCAGGUACCAUAUGAUCACAGCUUUAGUUGGUCACUUCUGCAAGCAGAUUGCUGGUCUGGAUUUGGUAAAGUCAUGUGAUAUGACUUUGUGUUUGCUUCUGACAUGUGACCCGUGUCAUUUUUAUGAAGACGGAAACUACCAAGCCAAACAGAUCCAAGUCGUGUCGGGCCUGAGUUAUUAUAACAUCACACAAGAAUAAUAGAAUCACAGAACCAUAUAAUUUUACAUUUGGAAUGGACCCUGAUUAUCAUCUAAUGCAGGAGUCAGCAAACUUUUUCAGCAGGGGGCCGGUCCGCUGUCCCUCAGACCUUGUGGGGGGCCGGACUAUAUGGGGGUGUGUGUGAAUGAACGAAUACCUAUGCCCCACAAAAUAACCCAGAGAUGCAUUUUAAUUAAAAGCACACAUUCUACUCAUGUAAAAACACGCUGAUUCCUGGACCGUCCGCAGGCCAGAUUGAGAAGGCGAUUGGGCCGGAUCCGGCCCCCAGGCCUUAGUUUGCCUACCCAUGAUUUAAUUAUACAACCCCCUGUCAUAGUAUGACAAAGCUCCUAUUCUCUUUUGUAUAGGCAAGCAACAUACUAAAAGUGAUCUGCAUCUUUGCUGAGAGUAAAAAAAUUAACCUUGAUGAGACGUAAUGCAUAUAGACUUCCUUGCCAUUAGGAGAUUUUAAAGGACUGAAGCGUACUAAGCAGUUCCUCCCCUUUUCCCACACGCCCCUUGCCAAGUCCAGGGCUUUUAUUUCAUUUGUAUCUAUGAUGUAGUCUAGCAAGCCCCAUUAAGGGAACGAUAUUGCCUAUUCAACAGCAUGAAUCUUCCCUGUGUCACUAGACCUUGACCAGCUCAUUAUUAGUGGAAUGGAGCCAGGGAGAGAGACAGAGUGUUUUCUCAAACAUGUGAGGCGAGUGCGUCAGAGCUGUGGAGCAGGCUAUUAACAGGGGUUUGUCCUUUGGUGAGGACCUCCUUUCCUCUCCGGCAGCUUUCUGAGCUGAACUUAAGACCCUUAUUACAGAUUCAUGAAUGAAUGAUUUUGAUUUAUUUUGGCAGCGUCUGGAAGCAUCACAGUCCCGUGGAAGCAAGAACAACCAGCCAUUUGUGCAAAAUAAGAAUGUCAUUAGAAUGCACCUUUUAGCAGAUCAGCAUUAAGCAGUAGAGAAAAACAGCAACCAAGGCCCAGAAGAUUGUUUUUUGUGUCUUUGUUAUGUGUAAACAGAUCAGGUCUUAGCUUAGCAUUCCUUGAAAUGGUUACCUAUAUCAUGUGGUAAAUUCAAAUUUACUCAAAUAUACAGUGGUACCUCGGGUUACAGACGCUUCAGGUUACAGACUCCGCUAACCCAGAAAUAGUACCUUGGGUUAAGAACUUUGCUUCUGGGAUGAAACGGUGAAAUCAGCUAUGAUCAAAUGGGCACAAGAUGUUGGACAUAACAUAAUGAUGGCUGACUGGGAACAGUUAUGGACCACAGGUAUGAAGUUUAUGGCAUGUAAUGCUUUAAGAGAAAAUAGUAUGAAAAUGAUAUACAGGUGGUACAUGACACCUGUCAAGCUUGCAAAAAUCUAUCAUUUGCCCGAUAAUAAAUGUUGGAAAUGUAAAGAAACUGAAGGUACAUUCUUUCACCUUUGGUGGACGUGCCCAAGGAUUAAGGUUUCUGGGAGAUGAUUUAUAAUGAAUUGAAAAAGAUAUUUAAAUAUACCUUCUUGAAGAAACCAGAGGCCUUUCUCCUGGGCAUAGUCGGCCAAUUGGUGUUAAAGAAGGAUAGAACUUUCUUUAUGUAUGCUACAACAGCAGCAAGAAUACUUAUUGCAAAGUAUUGGAAGACACAAGAUCUACCCACUCUGGAAGAAUGGCAGAUGAAGGUGAUGGACUACAUGGAAUUGGCGGAAAUGACUGGCAGAAUCCGAGACCAGGGAGAAGAGUCGGUGGAAGAAGAUUGGAAGAAAUUUAAAGACUAUUUACAGAAAUAUUGCAAAAUUAAUGAAUGUUAGAAUGAUGUUAGAAUGAUGUUAGGUGGUUUAAGCAGUAAUGCUAUAAAGGUGUUUGUAAAAAAGGAUUGAUAACAGGUGAAAAAUUAAAGUCAUAGUAAAUUAAGCUAAAGGAUCAUGAGAAAAUAAAGAGGGAAAGAAAUUGCUGAAUUAACUAAUUGAACUGGAAUACAAAAAAGGGAGGUAUGAGGAGGUCAGGGAAAUAAGGAUAUGAAUGUAAGGUA